rnacentral:rRNA from 1 species
GGGUUGUGAGGUUAAGCGACUAAGCGUACACGGUGGAUGCCCUGGCAGUCAGAGGCGAUGAAGGACGUGCUAAUCUGCGAUAAGCGUCGGUAAGGUGAUAUGAACCGUUAUAACCGGCGAUUUCCGAAUGGGGAAACCCAGUGUGAUUCGUCACACUAUCAUUAACUGAAUCCAUAGGUUAAUGAGGCGAACCGGGGGAACUGAAACAUCUAAGUACCCCGAGGAAAAGAAAUCAACCGAGAUUCCCCCAGUAGCGGCGAGCGAACGGGGAGGAGCCCAGAGCCUGAAUCAGUGUGUGUGUUAGUGGAAGCGUCUGGAAAGGCGCGCGAUACAGGGUGACAGCCCCGUACACAAAAAUGCACAUGCUGUGAGCUCGAUGAGUAGGGCGGGACACGUGGUAUCCUGUCUGAAUAUGGGGGGACCAUCCUCCAAGGCUAAAUACUCCUGACUGACCGAUAGUGAACCAGUACCGUGAGGGAAAGGCGAAAAGAACCCCGGCGAGGGGAGUGAAAAAGAACCUGAAACCGUGUACGUACAAGCAGUGGGAGCACAGAGCAAUCUGUGUGACUGCGUACCUUUUGUAUAAUGGGUCAGCGACUUAUAUUCUGUAGCAAGGUUAACCGAAUAGGGGAGCCGAAGGGAAACCGAGUCUUAACUGGGCGUUAAGUUGCAGGGUAUAGACCCGAAACCCGGUGAUCUAGCCAUGGGCAGGUUGAAGGUUGGGUAACACUAACUGGAGGACCGAACCGACUAAUGUUGAAAAAUUAGCGGAUGACUUGUGGCUGGGGGUGAAAGGCCAAUCAAACCGGGAGAUAGCUGGUUCUCCCCGAAAGCUAUUUAGGUAGCGCCUCGUGAAUUCAUCUCCGGGGGUAGAGCACUGUUUCGGCAAGGGGGUCAUCCCGACUUACCAACCCGAUGCAAACUGCGAAUACCGGAGAAUGUUAUCACGGGAGACACACGGCGGGUGCUAACGUCCGUCGUGAAGAGGGAAACAACCCAGACCGCCAGCUAAGGUCCCAAAGUCAUGGUUAAGUGGGAAACGAUGUGGGAAGGCCCAGACAGCCAGGAUGUUGGCUUAGAAGCAGCCAUCAUUUAAAGAAAGCGUAAUAGCUCACUGGUCGAGUCGGCCUGCGCGGAAGAUGUAACGGGGCUAAACCAUGCACCGAAGCUGCGGCAGCGACGCUUAUGCGUUGUUGGGUAGGGGAGCGUUCUGUAAGCCUGCGAAGGUGUGCUGUGAGGCAUGCUGGAGGUAUCAGAAGUGCGAAUGCUGACAUAAGUAACGAUAAAGCGGGUGAAAAGCCCGCUCGCCGGAAGACCAAGGGUUCCUGUCCAACGUUAAUCGGGGCAGGGUGAGUCGACCCCUAAGGCGAGGCCGAAAGGCGUAGUCGAUGGGAAACAGGUUAAUAUUCCUGUACUUGGUGUUACUGCGAAGGGGGGACGGAGAAGGCUAUGUUGGCCGGGCGACGGUUGUCCCGGUUUAAGCGUGUAGGCUGGUUUUCCAGGCAAAUCCGGAAAAUCAAGGCUGAGGCGUGAUGACGAGGCACUACGGUGCUGAAGCAACAAAUGCCCUGCUUCCAGGAAAAGCCUCUAAGCAUCAGGUAACAUCAAAUCGUACCCCAAACCGACACAGGUGGUCAGGUAGAGAAUACCAAGGCGCUUGAGAGAACUCGGGUGAAGGAACUAGGCAAAAUGGUGCCGUAACUUCGGGAGAAGGCACGCUGAUAUGUAGGUGAAGUCCCUCGCGGAUGGAGCUGAAAUCAGUCGAAGAUACCAGCUGGCUGCAACUGUUUAUUAAAAACACAGCACUGUGCAAACACGAAAGUGGACGUAUACGGUGUGACGCCUGCCCGGUGCCGGAAGGUUAAUUGAUGGGGUCAGCGCAAGCGAAGCUCUUGAUCGAAGCCCCGGUAAACGGCGGCCGUAACUAUAACGGUCCUAAGGUAGCGAAAUUCCUUGUCGGGUAAGUUCCGACCUGCACGAAUGGCGUAAUGAUGGCCAGGCUGUCUCCACCCGAGACUCAGUGAAAUUGAACUCGCUGUGAAGAUGCAGUGUACCCGCGGCAAGACGGAAAGACCCCGUGAACCUUUACUAUAGCUUGACACUGAACAUUGAGCCUUGAUGUGUAGGAUAGGUGGGAGGCUUUGAAGUGUGGACGCCAGUCUGCAUGGAGCCGACCUUGAAAUACCACCCUUUAAUGUUUGAUGUUCUAACGUUGACCCGUGAUCCGGGUUGCGGACAGUGUCUGGUGGGUAGUUUGACUGGGGCGGUCUCCUCCUAAAGAGUAACGGAGGAGCACGAAGGUUGGCUAAUCCUGGUCGGACAUCAGGAGGUUAGUGCAAUGGCAUAAGCCAGCUUGACUGCGAGCGUGACGGCGCGAGCAGGUGCGAAAGCAGGUCAUAGUGAUCCGGUGGUUCUGAAUGGAAGGGCCAUCGCUCAACGGAUAAAAGGUACUCCGGGGAUAACAGGCUGAUACCGCCCAAGAGUUCAUAUCGACGGCGGUGUUUGGCACCUCGAUGUCGGCUCAUCACAUCCUGGGGCUGAAGUAGGUCCCAAGGGUAUGGCUGUUCGCCAUUUAAAGUGGUACGCGAGCUGGGUUUAGAACGUCGUGAGACAGUUCGGUCCCUAUCUGCCGUGGGCGCUGGAGAACUGAGGGGGGCUGCUCCUAGUACGAGAGGACCGGAGUGGACGCAUCACUGGUGUUCGGGUUGUCAUGCCAAUGGCACUGCCCGGUAGCUAAAUGCGGAAGAGAUAAGUGCUGAAAGCAUCUAAGCACGAAACUUGCCCCGAGAUGAGUUCUCCCUGACUCCUUGAGAGUCCUGAAGGAACGUUGAAGACGACGACGUUGAUAGGCCGGGUGUGUAAGCGCAGCGAUGCGUUGAGCUAACCGGUACUAAUGAACCGUGAGGCUUAACCUUACAACGCCGAAGCUGUU